AGAGUGGGGUAGUUAAUAAGUGUUAUUUCCUAUUUGCUUCUAUCUAGAAAUCAAAGGAAAUGACUUCUAUUCCCUUCACACUUUGCUUUUGCGACCUGUUUUGAAACUGACCUAUUUUCCAUUACAUUUCAGACAGAUUCAGCUCUGAAUUGCUGAAGCAGAAUUAUCGUUAUAGCAAGUAUUCUACUCAAUACCACAUAUUUGUUUGUCAAUUGCUUGACAUUGACCACUUGAGAAUGUCCCUUAGUAACUGACAAUAUGUGCAUCCCUGAUCCACUAGGAUCAGUGGGGGAGCAUUAUAGCCAUG